CGGACGGGUGAGUAACGCGUGAGAACCUACCUUCAGGACGGGGACAACAGUUGGAAACGACUGCUAAUACCCGAUGUGCCGAGAGGUGAAAGAUUUAUUGCCUGAAGAUGGGCUCGCGUCUGAUUAGCUAGAUGGUGGGGUAAGAGCCUACCAUGGCGACGAUCAGUAGCUGGUCUGAGAGGAUGAGCAGCCACACUGGGACUGAGACACGGCCCAGACUCCUACGGGAGGCAGCAGUGGGGAAUUUUCCGCAAUGGGCGAAAGCCUGACGGAGCAAUACCGCGUGGGGGAGGAAGGUCUUUGGAUUGUAAACCUCUUUUAUCAGGGAAGAAAAAAGUGACGGUACCUGAUGAAUAAGCAUCGGCUAACUCCGUGCCAGCAGCCGCGGUAAUACGGAGGAUGCGAGCGUUAUCCGGAAUUAUUGGGCGUAAAGAGUCCGUAGGUGGUUAUGCAAGUCUGCCGUUAAAGAAUGGAGCUUAACUCCAUAGGAGCGGUGGAAACUGCAAGACUAGAGUACAGUAGGGGUAGCAGGAAUUCCCAGUGUAGCGGUGAAAUGCGUAGAUAUUGGGAAGAACAUCGGUGGCGAAAGCGUGCUACUGGGCUGAAACUGACACUGAGGGACGAAAGCUAGGGUAGCGAAAGGGAUUAGAUACCCCUGUAGCC
rnacentral:rRNA from 1 species